UCCAAACAACCUCUCAAGAGGUUCCAGGAAAAAAGUAGUGCCUUGUUGCCUGGCUACCCUUGACUUUUACUAGUGAGUGGAUCCCCCCUGUUGUUUCUACCACUCAUGGACAUUGGAAGACACACAUAUGGUAUGAAGGGAGGGUACACCUGCCUAGCCAGCCAGAUCAGCCAUAUCAACUUUGAUGAGCAGUGGGAUGACAGAUGUCACAGAGAAAUUUCCCUCACAU
rnacentral:snRNA from 1 species